GUCCAGCAUCCUGUUCUCAUAAUUGACAACCAGAUGCCCAGGGUUCAAAAGCAGUUUUCUGUCAGUUGUUUAAAUAAGGGAGGGAACAGUGAUAAAAAUUCUUGGGUUCUAGCCACAACAUAGCUGAGUCUGCAUGGACACGUACACCAGACAAUUUUGCCCAGAUUUUCAGGAAACUGAAAUGUAGGGAAAACAAUUGUCCAGGAGAAAAGAAACUCAAAGUACUGGUCUGGGAAAGAGAUAAUACCAGAAUUAGUUGAAGAAUUAAACUUUCAUUCAAUGUUUAGUCAUCAAAAGUUGAGAGGGAUAAAUUCCCUCCACCCAGCCCCAUGACUUACUGUACUUGAUUACUACUUUUCUUACAGAUUUUAUGGGCUCCAAAAACAGAACCACACCUGAAAGAAGUGCUGUUGAAAUUCCAAAAUAUUUCGAACAUAAAUACAAAACAGACUGAGGCAAUGGAUCCAAGGCAAGAGGUGGAGCCAGGGUGGGGGUAGGUUUAAAGGUUGGGAACAACUUGGGUGGAUUGACUGGUAUGGCCAUACAGAUGGAUGGGUCAAAGUAAUAUAUUCAGGAGCCUUGACAAGAGACACUGCAAGUAGAUUGCAAUGUAAAUAAUUUGGAAUCAAAUGUACUGCUAUCUGUUUUGGGGGACAGAGUCUGUGGGUGCAACUUACCCAUAAAUCCUGGAAUUAGUAAAAAUUAGAAAUAAUCAAGCCUUGAUUAAACUGUGCCAAACACAAAAAACCUGCUGGAUUUGGUUUAGGAGCCAGGCCAGCUCAGCAGAGCUAGCUGGAUGGGGGCCAUUGGAAGAACAAUAGCUGAUGAUGGCCAGACAUUGACCCAUCAAGGAAGCCAUCAAGAGAGUGAAGAUCUACCAGGCAAGGAGUGGUGGAGCCCCUCAUCUAGCUAUGGGCAGAAACCAAAGGGGUUUAGGAUUCCAGGAUGGGUGACAUAGGCUGGGGGAAACAACAGAUCCCUCCCCACUGGGUUAGCAGUGAUGGGCAGCGGGGCACGGGGCAGAGCACCAUGUGGGAUAGUUGGGACAAGCAGUAAUAAAGACACAAAACAUGGCUUAUUUUUUUUUGCAGACCCAAGCCUGCUGCUCCUAUGAGAAAAGCAAAGGACCCUCUUGGGGUGUGAUGGUGGGAUUUUCCUUUAUCCAAGUUCAGGUUCAUAAAGACACCACAGUCACUGCUGUGCCUCAUUGUCCAAGAGGAAA